AGUCAACAUAACCAAAGGACGUGGAUAAACUCGGGAAACUGAGGCUAAACCGCGAUAGAUCAAGAUACCUGGAAUGGUUUUUGAUCAAAAUCUAUAUGGCCUUUGGAUUGGACUGCGUCCGAUCAGGCCGUUGGUGAGGUAAUGGCCCACCAAACCUAUAACCGGUACGGGCUCUGAGAGGAGGAGCCCGGAGAUGGGUACUGAGAUAAGGACCCAGGCCCUAUGGGGCGCAGCAGGCGCGAAACCUCUGCAAUAGGCGAAAGCUUGACAGGGUUACUCUGAGUGACUUUCGUUAAGAAAGUCUUUUGACACCUCUAAAAAUGGUGUAGAAUAAGGGGUGGGCAAGUCUGGUGUCAGCCGCCGCGGUAAUACCAGCACCCCGAGUGGUCGGGACGAUUAUUGGGCCUAAAGCAUCCGUAGCCGGCCCUACAAGUCCUCCGUUAAAUCCAGCUGCUUAACAGAUGGGCCGCGGAGGAUACUAUAAGACUAGGAGGCAGGAGAGGCAAGCGGUACUCAGUGGGUAGGGGUAAAAUCCGUUGAUCCACUGAAGACCACCUGUGGCGAAGGCGGCUUGCCAGAAUGCGCUCGACGGUGAGGGAUGAAAGCUGGGGGAGCAAACCGGAUUAGAUACCCGGGUAGUCCCAGCCGUAAACGAUGCAGACUCGGUGAUGGACUAGCUUUAUGCUGGUCCAGUGCCGCAGGGAAGCCGUUAAGUCUGCCGCCUGGGUAGUACGGUCGCAAGACUGAAACUUAA
rnacentral:rRNA from 1 species